rnacentral:rRNA from 1 species
UGGGGAAUUUUGGACAAUGGGGGCAACCCUGAUCCAGCAAUGCCGCGUGUGUGAAGAAGGCCUUCGGGUUGUAAAGCACUUUUGUCCGGGAAGAAAUCGCACCUGAUAAUACCGGGUGUGGAUGACGGUACCGGAAGAAUAAGGACCGGCUAACUACGUGCCAGCAGCCGCGGUAAUACGUAGGGUCCAAGCGUUAAUCGGAAUUACUGGGCGUAAAGCGUGCGCAGGCGGUUGUGCAAGACCGAUGUGAAAUCCCCGGGCUUAACCUGGGAAUUGCAGUGGUGACUGCACGGCUAGGGUGUGUCAGAGGGGGGUAGAAUUCCACGUGUAGCAGUGAAAUGCGUAGAGAUGUGGAGGAAUACCGAUGGCGAAGGCAGCCCCCUGGGAUAACACUGACGCUCAUGCACGAAAGCGUGGGGAGCAAACAGG